UGUGCUCUUUCUCAAAAAUAAAAAAAGUUGAAAAAAAAAAUAACAGAAUGGACAAAGCCACUUGCUGCCUUGUCACCAAGAGACACCCUUUGGUUCUGGAACAGAACUCUUACACAGAGGGCAGCAGACGCCCACGCUCACUGUCCCAGCUGGCACUCCCGUGGGGAGUAGCACCUCUGUGGCGGGGGGCAGGCACGGCCCGGCUCCAAGACCGGCCUCGAUACCCACCUUCGCCUGCCGCGGGAUCAGAGACACACGGGUAAACGGCGGCUCCUUCCCCUUCCGCACGGAAGGCGGGACGAAGAUCCAGAGGCGCGGUCUGGGUGAAGUGACUGCUCAGGGGGAACGUGGCCACCCCUCUGUCCUUCCACAGAUUCCAGGCCCAGCAAGGGAAGCAGACAGACGGCCAUCGGGGGGCCUAGGAGUCUCUCAUGCGCCUCACUCCCCGCCGGCAACAUUCUCCCUCCCCAAAGGCUGCCCCGCCUCCUGGUCUUUGCACGGGCAGGAGGAACGACCCACCGUGCUCUCUAGGAACCAAAGGCACCCGCUUCCUCGCGUUAAGCACCCCCUGCUCCCCUGGACAGCACGAGGUUUGUCCCCGAGCUACAACAGACCACCACCGAAGACGGGGAGACUGCCUGCGGUGCGCUCACUGAACAUCUGCUCGGAGCCAUCGGGCAGUGAAAGCACAGUGGCUUUGCGGCUUAGGAAACAGCAAACCGUCUACACUGCGCGAACCUACGGAGGAUGCCACCCUGCCUCAAAGGAGCUCGGACGCGGUCUCUGGCUGGCGCAGGGAAGACUGUGAGGAGGCAGAAUCAGGCAACGCCACAAGCACUAGCCUUAUUAGCUAAUCACAACCCCAGGGCAUUAGUGACACACGGAGUGACUCUUCUCCCAGGGGACCAAUUAUUCCACAGUUGAGUCUCCUCCCUUAACUUUCAAGACGUGGCGGUGGGGAGGAAUGACAGGGUAGGGGGAGGCUGCUGCUAUCAGAAGAUGGUGUUAAAAGGGUCUGAGGUGGUCUGAUGUCACUACCUGAUGGUCUGUAAUAGCCAUAUCCUCCGUCCCAUUUUCUUCUCCCAGCACAUCGCUUCACCUCAGAAGGACAGUUGACGAUGCGGCUUCGGGCGACACCGGGCCAGACAGGCCACCCUGGUUCUCCUGGUUCUCCAGAAGGUGCGCAGGAAGAACUCUCUCUCAGUCUAGAGGGCUGGGUGAAGCAAGCCCCUCGUCUGGACCCUGACUGGCUUUUGAGGCAUUAUUCUAGGAAAGUAUACACUGGAAGGUGAGAAAGCGGUGCAGAAAUGGAAGCAGAAAUAGUUUCCUUCAUUUUGAUCCUUUUUUUGCAAAUGCUUGUUGGGAGUCCUCGCUAGUUGACAUUUCUUCGCUUUAUUUAUUUUGAGAGACACAUGUAGAAAAAAAACGUGUGUGCCAGCAUGGGGAGGGGCGGAAAGAGAGGGAGAGAGAGAAUCUCAAGCAGACUCUGUCAGUGCAGAGCCCGAUGCGGGGCUCGAUCCCACAAACCGUGAGAUCGUGACCUGAGCCAAAAUCAAGAGCUGGAUGCUUAACCGACUAAGCCACCCAGGUGCCCCUCACUCGUUGACAUUUCUAAGGAAGAAACUGGCUUCAUUAGCUGUCAGCAAACUUGCCUUGCUGACAAACCUCCUUGCCUUGCCUUGUUUGUAGUGUCCUCCCGGUCCCAAGAAGACAGACACUGAAGAAUGCAGGUGUAAUUUGGGGCUGCGAGUUUGAAAAAGUCCGUUCAUGUAAACUCAGUAAAUACGGAUCUAAUAAGAAGGGAGCAGAGAGAAAACAACCUGUCUUCCCUUCCGACGAUAUUCUGCUAACGAUUUACGAAAAUACAAGUACUUGGAUGGCUCCAGAUGUUUGUUUUUACAGAUGGUCAUCAACACAGAUUGAAAAAAACAAAUGUGGAUUUCCUCACAAGAGUGAGAACACGUAAGUGGAAAAAUCCAGAAACACAAUUCCAGUUCUCCCAGAGUUCCUGCUUUUGCACGUUUCGCGGUGUGGCAGGAUUGUCGUCACAUCUGCUGCUAAUCGCCUGUGUUUCCUCAGCAAAUCAUUAACUAACCCUGCGGGCUUCCGUGUGGAUCAUGCAUGAGGCACCUGGACAGAUUAUCCUGAAGACUCCUUGUAAGUGUAAAACUUGAUGAUCUGCCCAGGUUCUGCACCCUGGGGAGAGGUCACCUCUGUGGUAACCAGCUGUGUGUCAUUGGCAGGUCGCCGAAAACCUGGCUGAGUCUGGUCUUAGGAUCUCCUGGAAAGGGGGCAGUUUGCCCAGAGGGACCUAGCGUUUUCCUUUGGAUAAGAUGGCACGGUUGCCGAGGGUCAAGUGCUCAGCCAGCAGGGUUCUAGACGAAGAGCUGUGGGCCGCGGGCACGGUCUGAGCGUGUGCUUUGGCACGGCGGCUGCCUCUGCGCAUGGCCCACCACGAGCACAGACUCAGUCAGAACCCCCAGCUCUCCAAGGGCCUCAGUGCGUGACCCUCCAUGGUGGCUGCUACCCAGAAGUCCUGCCCCAUCACGGUUAGCUGGCACUCUUGAAUCCAACAGUGCCACGCCGUCUUUGGUAAGAAGGGUGUGUUGGUUCCAUAACCUGGAGUCACACUCAAAGUACGUGGGAAAGUCACUGACAAUUUGUUCAGCUGAGCCCCAAAGCAGAAAGAAGGAAGGAGUGGGUCUACUUCUGCAUUUAUGUGCUGGUAUUUCUUAGGAAGGGUGGGGGAGAUACUCAUUUCCAAAGGUAAAAGGUUCAGAGAAAAAUAUCACUGAUCUUAUUCUAGUUUUAACCUAGUUUCCUGUUGUCAACAGGGGGAUUUAGUAUCAUUCCAAAAUAAUGAAAUCAUCUUUCUCAUAAGAUAAUUUAACGUUGUCUUCAAAUAAAAGCAACAGCGUGCUUUCUAUGUAUGUAUUAACCUCAAUAUUUCAGUGAAGUGAACAACUCCAUUUCCGAACUGAGAAAAUUAGAUAAAGAUUAAAUUAAAUGACUUGCUCCAAAUCAGUCUUCCCAUUCUUGGUCAAGAUGUCCACAUAUUCUAGAAAGGAAAUGAAACUGUAACUCCUCUAGUACAUUCUUCAGUGUACCUCCUUUUUAAACUUCUGCCCCGAGUAUGAACUUUUCUGUUUGUAGCGCUAGAUAUUUAAAUUCUUAGCCUACACAUGAUGUAAAUACCUCUGUGUCUUAAAUUCCUUGCGUCCUCCCCAAUCUUGGCCUCUGUGUGCUCGCGUCUCAGAGGCGAAGAAGGCGUUCCCUCUUUCAAGACUAUACAGCCCGUUGCCAGCAUUUAUUAUGGGUUUAUGCCCCGUCAGGCACAUGGUCACACACAUACCAUGCUGUGGGACAGCAGGGCAGGGCGCGCCGUCCAGGAGCUCGGUGGCAGGGUCCCCCUCCCAGCUCGUCACAGACCCUCACGCGCUGCUCCAGUGCCACAGACAGGCAUAAAGGAGGGUUUGGUUCCCUUCCUCUGACCGCCUUCCCACUCAGUCCAUCAGUCUCAUCUCUCAUUGGCCUCUUCCUGUUCUCUCUCCCUUCUGGCUCCUUCUAUUUAGCUUAGAAGUACUUUUAAGUUUCCCCAUCUUCAUCUCUCUCCUGACCUUGCUAUUUUUGAGACUUUUAAAAAAAAAAAACACUAAAUUUCAUGAAAAUGUCAUUUAUAAAGAUACAAUUCUCGCCUCCAGUCCCACAUUCCUCCUCUCUCAUUGCCUCUACAACUGGGACAUUUACUCCACCACAGUCACCUGGCCAUGCAGGGGGUGGGAGGUGGGGCUGCCUAAUUGCUAAAUUCAAAUGCCCCUUCUCUGCUCUCUCUUGUCACCUUCCUGCGUGGUUCCUGGGUACCACGCUACCACCACGUGGUUCCUCUUGUCUGCCCCACAAAUACAGCCAUCAGCCAGAGCAUUGCGCCUGGUCUCCUUCUCUGCUCUGUUUGGUGAUUCUAACUUAAAGGUAUCACCCACCCCAAGCUGACAUCAGUCCACCUCACUUCUGCCGCCAGUUUCCAACCCACUCUUCUAGUUCCGCGACAAACUCCACGGUCAGAUGGCCAACCGUGUGCACGGUGGAUAUAUGUACACAAAAGGCCUGUUCACGUGUGCAGCACAAAAUCCAAUCUUCGUCUACUACAAACUUUCCCUUUUCCUGCCUCCCCUCUACACCAAUGAAAACACUGGGCCACCUGUCCCCCAGAGGAAAUGUGAUUCUGUCACCUUCAACUCCUUCCUUCUAUCCUCACAUCCAGUCAGCGCUCAAGUCCCAUGGUGGACUCUCUUGUUCUCAGAGUCCCCAGAUGUUCUUCACUGCCUGCACGAGGAAGUUCUGGCUCCCUAACCACACCUUUCAGGACCCACUCUGGUCAUUAUUUGCCAUACAUCUCAUGGCUGUGAAAAGGAGACCAAUUUCCAUUUGCUCACCAAAUCCUUUUUAUUUUUUGCACAUUUGACACAUUUGUUAGAUCUCCCAUUCCAUUUCUACGUCUCAAAACCCUACCUAGUCUUAAAAUUUGGGCUUAAAUGUCAGCUGUUCUAUUCAAAAUUUCCCGUUUCCUCAAGACACAAUCUCUCUGACUUUCCGCCCUUCAACUAGGUUGACCGGGUUGGUGCAUUCUGCUUGUUUCUUGAAUGUGGCCACUGCAUCUGGUUUAAGCAGUUCGUGGGAUUAAACCACACGUGAACUCAGUGCUCGUACUUUGUGGCUUUCAGGUCUUAAAACACAGACCUUUGAUCAUAAACCUCUGGGAAGCUGUCUCUAGCAACAUUUGUUAGCAAAAGUUGGUUGCUUUUCCUCCUUAAUAUAUCAUUAUGUGAUUAAUAUGGGCUUUCCCCCAGUGCUAGCAGUGAUAACAUAGCUCUAUCAGACAGCAACAUCGAUGAUUCAGUGGGAACAGAAGUACACUGAGUGACUGUGUUGUACAGAAAACACACCUGUGAGCUCAUACGUGCACCACAACGGGAUCCGAUGUGGGUCUGACACAACGUAGACCGUAUAGAGCACUAUUUACAACGAAUCACUAACGCUUGGCACAGCUCCAACUCCAGAGCCGCUAAAAGCAAACGUGCAAAGAAUGACAGCCAGUAUCUAAACGUAUUAAAAAGCGUACCCAAAGCAAGGCAAGAACAAAGCACUGAGUGGUGAGUGACAGUCCCCAGGACAGCAGGACAAACCGUACUCGGGGCACAGGUAGAAUCGGCCACAUAGACCUGAGUGCGGGCUCCGAGGAGAAGAGAGGUGAUCCAAAAAUAGCUCUAGCCCCUCAGCCCGGCAGCUUUACGAAGCUUUAAAUGAGCUCAGGACCGUUCAGAGACUGUGGCUCUGCUCCACGUCAAGGGCACCUCAUCUGCAUGGGCUGCCCAUAUACUAUGCAGAGUUGUUCUGAUGCCAGGAGUGGAGAACCCUCUGACAGCUCAGGACACCGGGAUGACUUAGGGAAUGAGCCGCGGUUUGGACUAUGUAGCCCAACAGACAUCCAUUUUCCUGAUGCCAAGUAAAACUUAAGGUGAAUUCUGCAUCGAAACACCCAGCACGUGCAGGGGCCAGUGAGAUUCCUCUGGGAGGUAUUUGCAUGUUUUUUGUUUGUAAACCCUAUGAGUAGGAUGAUCAAUGCCAAACAAAUAAAGAACCACUUACCAAAAAGACAGACCACAGCCAAUUACCUCCCCCCCCCCAAAUAUGUUCUGAAUGCCUAAGAACUUUGGAAGUAAUUUGGUUUUCAUGAAAUGCUUUUUUUUUUUUUAUUGAGAGAGCCCACGUGUGAGUGGGAGGGGGGGGCAGCAAGAGAGAGAGAGAGAGAAUGAAUCUUAAGCAGGCUCCGUGCUCAGAGAGGAGCCCAAUGAUCCCACGACCGUGAGAUCAUGACCUGAGCCAAAAUCGAAAGACACUUAACUGACGGAGUCACCCAGGCGCCCCUUCACGAAAUGCUUCUGUUGAGAAGCCACUCACAGAAGUGUGUGCAUUCUUCUUGUUUUGACUUUCAUCAUUAGACUUUUAUCAUCAAAUUUACUAACUAGUGCAUACUAUUCUUAGCGUUUUGCUUCAUUCAAUGUGAAGAGAAACAGCAAGGCUUACAGAAAGGGAAGGAAGAUUCCCCCCCCCCCCCUUUUCCACUUUGGUCUUUCACAAAAUUUUAACAUAACAUAAGCCAAAAAGUUGGUUAUGAAAUGGUUAUUUUAAAGGGUGUAGAAGUUAUAGCUUAUACUUCAAUGCUCACCAAGUCAUUUGAUGAUAGCAGAAAUUUGGUAAAAUAUGUUUUUUAAAGAGCUAAUGCUAGAAAUAUCAACUACAUGAGGGCAUGUAUUUUUCUCUACUUUGUCCACUGAUGUGUUUCAAAUGCCUAGAAUAGUCCCAGGUACAUGGAAGAUGCUCAGGAAAUAUUUGUCAAAUGAAAAAAUAUAUCCAGAAAUUACAGUCACUAUGGUGAUAUUUUAUUUACAGGGCUUUUACAUCAUGUUCAACUCCAUUAACAUCAAUGAAAAUAAAGUGAGCCCUGUAAGUCAGCAGCAAGUCAACACACGGAAACCUUCUAGAAAGAUAAAAUGUUGAAACUCGCAGGAAAUGAGCAAAGAAUCGCAUUAUCUGUUCUCUUUCUGUAGCAAUAGGGUGUAAACCUGUCUGAUUCAACCCCACAAAUAAACAGGUAAUUUUAACAGCCUUCCCGACGAAAACACUUAAAAGUAUAGCUAAUGAUGGGGAACACUGACGGCUUUGAGAACUUUCUUUGGUAAUAAGCAGUGAAAAAAGAUGAAUGGAGGAAAAUAGGAAGGUCAGAGAUGCAGUCAAGGUUGAACAGAGUGUAAGUAAAAACACCCUCAACAGUUGGCUGGGUCCUUGCUGUAUCUAACCAACGCCGGCGCACUGGGGGCACGUGGCCUUGGUGAGGCACGCAUGAUGCACGGGAGUUUUUCUGAGGAUGAUCUUUCAAAAGCCCACACUAGAGUAGAUGGCGCUUCUGAAAAAUGAAUGCCCGUAUUUGAUAGGAGACUCUCACGUCUAUAUCGUGACAGGAGAACAUUUUGAAAGCCAAUCUUUGUAAUGACUGCAAUAAAAACCACUUUAUGUGAUUCUGUACUAAUAUAAUUAGUAUGAUUCAUUUUUCAGGAAGCUGUCAGACCUGUGUAUUCACCUGUAGGGUGUGGCUAUUCUGGGAUUACUGAGGAACCGGAUCAUGGUCCGAGGUGCACCAACACUGCAAUAAAUUAGCGGCAGAAGAUUUUCACAGGAGGAAACAGGAGAAGGCACUUCAGGCAGAGAAGCCAGCAGAAACAAAGGCCGACAGUGUCUGGGGAGGAUGAAGACCUGCCUGAUCCAGCUGCAGGGGGGCGGUGGGGGGGGGGGUCAUGCUGGCAAGGAAGCGUGGAGGCAGACCAGGGAGCGCCUCGAAUACCACGCCAAUGCCUCCAUCUGCCUUCCUCUCGACCGUGUGUGAACCACGCGGAAAGUGUCCGACAGAGCUGUUUUGUGUCCCCGACGGCGUGCAAAACGGACGGAGGGCGAGCAUGAAGCUGAAGGCCGUUCUGACGGCAGGAAGAGGGCAAAAUCGCGGCUUCACCCGGGGUAGCGGGACCAUACGAUGCUCCCGAGAAGGCACCAGAAUGGCCUGGAUGCGCGGCUGAUGAGACGCACAACGAACCCAGAGGCUGGUUCAAGGUGGCUGGCCGAGGAGAGGGGAGUGGGAUGAGGGAGGGCAGGGGGAGGUCUGGACGCGUGGAUGACAUGGACAGGCAGACCCCCGGGGUCGUGGGGUCAGGGUGGCAGCCUCAGCAGACGGCCUUUCCUGGCCCCAUCGCCUUAAUUCCACCUGUGCUCCUGUCCCCUGUGCGUGACGGCUUGGCGGGCGGAGGGGUGGGGCCCAAACCACCAAUGUGGGCUAAAUCGGCCUGUGAAUCGCACCUCCUCACCUGACACGGGUCCCCCAGGGACACGCGCAGGUACACACACGGGGGACAGACACCUCUCGUCACCCCGAAAGCCUCUGGAGUGACCCUGAGGAUAACUCAUCGUUUCCCACUCGGCUUUUCUCCACUGCUGCCCCGGUGACGGGUGUGUGACACUGAAGGUCACCACUCAUGGGUCCUUCCCACGUGAUGACCUCCGGAAGGGAGGCUCACACGGAAAGACUUCCAGGCUCCGUGAACCUCAAACAGUCCACGAGGAGGUGCCACCGUGUCCUGGGGACUUUGUGUCUGUCACAGCCUUCAAGGAGGCAGGUGACGUCUGGAAGACGUGGGGGAUAAAAUAUUGCUAGAAUUUAAGGGGAAAACUAUUUGAAAAGCCAACGGUGGAAACGGGGGGGAAAAAUCCUCCUUAGCAUUUUAAACUGCCUUAUCCUAUCAAGAGAAAUUAUCUAUUAUCCUGAAGUGUGCACCUGAUUGAGUGCACUUACAGAAGCAUUUGGAGAAUGUGAAAACCUCUUAAAAAAAAAAAAAAACAGAAGAAGGUCAGAGGAAUAAUGUGGCACACCAACGCAGUAUUAUGUUUUAGACAGAAAGUGCCAAAGACACGUGCCCGUGUGGUAAUUAUAAUGCUCUCUCCCAAGUUCUCAGAAUUGCCAGCCCAAACCAACAAAUCCACGAGUUGGGGAGAAGACAAAUAUUAUCAUCUCUCUUUAAGACCUUGCUGCACACCCUGGAGAUAAUGUCUUCUUUAUACCAACACAGAGACACAUUCCUCAAAAACAAGUUCAAAAUUUGGAGAAGAAACGACCCAGGAAUUAAUUAAUGAAAGAGGAGAAUGAAGUAAACAAAGGAAAAAUUAUCAUAUCAAAAUAAAAGACAAGAAACACGAUUAAAUUAGGCUUCAAAAGACCCCAUGAGAAACCCAUGAAAGGCAUAAUAUGCAUUUACCUGGUUUUUAUUCUUUCAUGAUUUAAUUUCUAAUUUUAUUCACUACCAUCUGAUAAUUGCAUGAAACACUUAUUCUAACCAUGGGCAAUUUAAACUAUUUUAAUUUUUAUUUCAAGGCCAUGAGACAAAGGAACCUAUUUAUUGCCUAAGGGGAUUUUUUUUAACAAAAAUUAAAGCUUAAUCUUUCAUGUUUUAAAGCACAGACUGUUUAAAAUCAUUUAUAAUAAUGCUGUAGGGAGACCAUGCCUGGGUAUGUAAAAUUAAAAUGAUAAAUUUACAAUUAUUAAAAAAAUUAAUAGUUUGGGGGAUUGAAUUGUCCCUUUCCCUUCGAGAUGGAUUGGUCGGAAGUGUGGGGGACAUCUUUAAAAACAGGGUAAAACCAGGGUCUGUGUGGGAGCUGAGUGAUGGGGCAUCAGUGCGUUUCACAGUUGGACUGGUCUUGCUAGAGGUACAACAAUGCUAAGUCCUAUUUUUUAUUAUUUAAAAGAUAAACAAUGGCAUCGGCCUUAGGAACUACCGUAUACCCCUUUUAUUUCACAGGAAAUUGCUUUGAUGGAGUGGAGGGUCGUGAAUUCUACCAACCACAUUUUCUGUGACUUUGAAAAAGUCCCUGAUGGAAAUUAGACAAAUAAUUUACUUCCACUUAAAUGUCAGAUUUUUUUUUAGUUAUGCUUAAGAAAAAUAAUUGAAAUGUAGAUUUAAAUCAUUUCGGCUGCUACACUUCAGGAUUCUAAUGAAAUACUUUCAGCUAUUAUGCAAAGCAUUGCUCAACAGAGAGGAGAAAAACCACGUUCGGUGGUCUGGCACCUCAGCAGAAUUAAUGGAAGGGCGGAAUGUUUCUUUGAGAGCAAAGGUAAGGACACUCCGCUUUGGAGAGAAGAAGGAAAGCAGAUCUCAGGACACAAUUUCCCUUUCACUAAGAGCUCAGGAAAAACCUGAAAGUGGUCAAAUAUGUUUAAAAUUUCUUAAGUAUGUAGGCCAUCUUCCUUGGCUGUCUGAGUAACCCCCCAUUUGAAACAGGUUACAUUAUUUGAGCUUCCGACCCUACUGGCUGGACUGCAUGUGGAUCCGGGGACAUGGCCAUCCCCCACCCCUCCCCGCCCAGCAGGUGCCAUCUCCCUCCUACCUUCACACUUGCUCCCGCCUCACCCGAAUGCCCUUGCCCUGGAUACCCCCAUGGCCUCCCCCCAACACCCUUCACUCUCCACCGUACUCUGGUGUGUCCAUACAACACUGCCUGGCACCUACGGGGCACGCGGACUCGCUCGCUAUCAGAUGCCCUGACCAAGUGGAGGACGCGAGGGCAGGGGCAGGUCUGUGCCGUGCCCGGGGCCGGUGCCUGACACCGGACAGCCCCUCGGACAGCUGUUAGGUCUCAACUCCGUUGUCUACACCGACCAACUUAGAUCCCACUUGCACUUGACUUCGUAAACUGACCAGUCUUCUUUUAAAGGACAACGAAAUGUUCAAAUAUUAAUUCUGAUUCCCUGCAGCCAAGGCACAUUCCAGCCCAAAUAUCACAACGGGAGAACACAGUUCAACAAAGUCAAAUAAACCCUCACAAGCAAAUAAUAGGCCACAUACCCUUAACCAAAAUGUCCACUUAUGAUAAUGGUCUGUCCAUCUCUGGAAAGGCAGGACAAUUUUAACAUCAUUACAAUACUGAAUAUAUCAAAGUUAAAGCCCUGAAAGGCUGGUGGUCCAAGCUGAGGGCUUUGUGGCUCCUUGCCAUUUAAGGAAAAGUUUUCUUGUUUUUCCUCCAGUUUACUACCAAUGAUUUGGUUAGUUUCUGCUGGUCACUCUUGAUAAAAGGAAGACAAGAUGAAGGCCAAGGUUGGGAAAACUAUAAUAAUAUACUUUUGCUAAAUAAAGGUAAAGUGUGUUUUAAAAAACACAGCUAUCUUUAUUUGUAUAUAAGCAAAUAAAGGAGCAUACAGGUUGUAAA